ACGCACGCUGGCGGCGUGCUUCACACAUGCAAGUCGCACGGAAAGGCCCUGCUUUUGUGGGGUGCUCGAGUGGCGAACGGGUGAGUAACACGUGAGUAACCUGCCCUUGACUUUGGGAUAACUUCAGGAAACUGGGGCUAAUACCGGAUAGGAGCUCCUGCUGCAUGGGGGGGGUGGGAAAGUUCGGCGGUUGGGGAUGGACUCGCGGCUUAUCAGCUUGUUGGUGGGGUAGUGGCUUACCAAGGCUUUGACGGGUAGCCGGCCUGAGAGGGUGACCGGCCACAUUGGGACUGAGAUACGGCCCAGACUCCUACGGGAGGCAGCAGUGGGGAAUAUUGCACAAUGGGCGGAAGCCUGAUGCAGCAACGCCGCGUGCGGGAUGACGGCCUUCGGGUUGUAAACCGCUUUCGCCUGUGACGAAGCGUGAGUGACGGUAAUGGGUAAAGAAGCACCGGCUAACUACGUG
rnacentral:rRNA from 1 species